UACGUAGGGUGCAGGCGUGUUCGGAAUUACUGGGCGUAAAGGGCCAGUAGGCGGCCGACUAAGUCCGACGUGAAAUCCCCAGGCUUAACCUGGGAACUGCGUCGGAUACUGGAUGGCUUGAAUUCGGGAGAGGGAUGCAGAAUUCCAGGUGUAGCGGUGAAAUGCGUAGAUAUCAGGAGGAACACCGGUGGCGAAGGCGCUGCUCUGGGC
rnacentral:rRNA from 1 species